rnacentral:rRNA from 1 species
AUACGGAGGAUGCAAGUGUUAUCCGGAUUUAUUGGGUUUAAAGGGUGCGUAGGCGGUUUGCUAAGCGGGAGGUGAAAUGCCGGCGCUCAACGUCGGAAGUGCCUCCCGAACUGGUGGACUUGAAUGACUCUGCCGUGGGAGGAAUGUGUAGUGUAGCGGUGAAAUGCUUAGAGAUUACACAGAACACCGAUUGCGAAGGCAUCUCACGAAGGUUGAUUGACGCUGAGGCACGAAAGCGUGGGGAUCAAACAGGAUUAGAUACCCUGGUAGUCCACGCAGUAAACGAUGAUGGCUAACCGCUGGGCUUAUCAGUUCAGUGGCCAAGCGAAAGCGAUAAGCCAUCCACCUGGGGAGUACGACCGCAAGGUUGAAACUUAAAUGAAUUGGCGGGG